UACAGGGGGUGCAAACGUUGCUCGGAAUCAUUGGGCGUAAAGCGCACGUAGGCGGUUCGUUAUGUCGGAUGUGAAAGCCCUUGGCUUAACCGAGGAAGUGCAUCCGAAACUGGCGAGCUAGAGUACGAAAGAGGAUCGCGGAAUUCCCGGUGUAGCGGUGAAAUGCGCAGAUAUCGGGAGGAACACCGGUGGCGAAGGCGGUUCUCUGGGCCUGACCUGACGCUGAGGAGCGAAGGCGUGGGGAGCGAACGGG
rnacentral:rRNA from 1 species